AGAGUUUGAUCCUGGCUCAGGGUGAACGCUGGCGGCGCGCUUAAUGCAUGCAAGUCGAACGUGCCUUCGGGCAAGUGGCAGACGGCUGAGUAACGCGUGAGUAACGUGCCCUCCGGUGGGGUAUAGCCUCGGGAAACUGAGAGUAAUCCCGCAUACGAUCCGGUGGCCUUGGUUGCCGGAUGAAAGCCUUCGGGCGCCGGAGGAGCGGCUCGCGUCCUAUCAGGUAGUUGGUGGGGUAAAAGCCCACCAAGCCGAUGACGGGUAGCUGGUCUGAGAGGACGAUCAGCCAGAGGGGGACUGAGACACGGCCCCCACUCCUACGGGAGGCAGCAGCAGGGAAUUUUGGGCAAUGGGCGAAAGCCUGACCCAGCGACGUCGCGUGAGGGAAGAAGGCCUUAGGGCUGUAAACCUCUUUUCCCGGGGAAGAGAAAGGACGGUACCCGGGGAAUAAGCUCCGGCUAACUACGUGCCAGCAGCCGCGGUAAUACGUAGGGAGCAAGCGUUACCCGGAAUUAUUGGGCGUAAAGCGUCCGCAGGCGGCCGUUUAAGUCUGUUGUUAAAUCGUGGAGCUCAACUCCAUCACGGCAAUGGAAACUGUUCGGCUUGAGUAUGGUAGGGGCAGAGGGAAUUUCCGGUGUAGCGGUGAAAUGCGUAGAUAUCGGGAAGAACACCAGUGGCAAAAGCGCUCUGCUGGGCCAUUACUGACGCUCAUGGACGAAAGCCAGGGGAGCGAAAGGGAUUAGAUACCCCUGUAGUCCUGGCCGUAAACGAUGAACACUAGAUGUUGGGGGAAUCGACCCCCUCGGUGUCGUAGCUAACGCGUUAAGUGUUCCGCCUGGGGAGUACGCACGCAAGUGUGAAACUCAAAGGAAUUGACGGGGGCCCGCACAAGCGGUGGAGUAUGUGGUUUAAUUCGAUGCAACGCGAAGAACCUUACCAAGGCUUGACAUCCUGCGAAUCUCCAAGAAAUUGGAGAGUGCCUUCGGGAACGCAGUGACAGGUGGUGCAUGGCUGUCGUCAGCUCGUG
rnacentral:rRNA from 1 species